GAUGAACGCUGGCGGCGUGCCUAACACAUGCAAGUCGAGCGAAGCAUACAGAAUGAAGUUUUCGGAUGGAUUUCUGUAUGACUGAGCGGCGGACGGGUGAGUAACGCGUGGGUAACCUGCCUUAUACAGGGGGAUAACAGUUAGAAAUGACUGCUAAUACCGCAUAAGCGCACAGUACCGCAUGGUAGUGUGUGAAAAACUCCGGUGGUAUAAGAUGGACCCGCGUCUGAUUAGCCAGUUGGCGGGGUAACGGCCCACCAAAGCGACGAUCAGUAGCCGACCUGAGAGGGUGACCGGCCACAUUGGGACUGAGACACGGCCCAAACUCCUACGGGAGGCAGCAGUGGGGAAUAUUGCACAAUGGGGGAAACCCUGAUGCAGCAACGCCGCGUGAGUGAAGAAGUAUUUCGGUAUGUAAAGCUCUAUCAGCAGGGAAGAAGAUGACGGUACCUGAUUAAGAAGCCCCGGCUAACUACGUGCCAGCAGCCGCGGUAAUACGUAGGGGGCAAGCGUUAUCCGGAUUUACUGGGUGUAAAGGGAGCGCAGACGGCAGUGCAAGUCUGGAGUGAAAGCCCGGGGCCCAACCCCGGAACUGCUCUGGAAACUGUGCGGCUAGAGUACUGGAGGGGCAGGCGGAAUUCCUAGUGUAGCGGUGAAAUGCGUAGAUAUUAGGAGGAACACCAGUGGCAAAGGCGGCCUGCUGGACAGUAACUGACGUUGAGGCUCGAAAGCGUGGGGAGCAAACAGGCUUAGAUACCGUGGUAGUCCACGCCGUAAACGAUGAAUGCUAGGUGUCGGGGAGCAAAGCUUCCCGGUGCCGCCGCAAACGCAUUAAACAUUCCACAUGGGGAGUAUGUUCGCAAGAAUGAAACUCAAAGGAAUUGACGCGGACCCGCACAAGCGGUGGAGCAUGUGGUUUAAUUCGAAGCAACGCGAAGAACCUUACCAAGUCUUGACAUCCCCCUGACCGGACCGUAACGGGUCCUUCCCUUCGGGGCAGGGGAGACAGGUGGUGCAUGGUUGUCGUCAGCUCGUGUCGUGAGAUGUUGGGUUAAGUCCCGCAACGAGCGCAACCCCUAUCCCCAGUAGCCAGCAGUAAGAUGGGCACUUUGUGGAGACUGCCAGGGACAACCUGGAGGAAGGCGGGGAUGACGUCAUAAUCAUACAUGCCCACUUAUGAUAUUGGGUCUACACAUCGUGCUGACAAUGGACGUAAACAGCAGGGAGGCGAACGGAGCGAUCCGGAGCAAACCCCAGAAAUAACGUCCCAGUUCGGAUUGCAGGCUGCAACCCGCCUGCAUGAAGCUGGAAUCACUAGUAAUCGCGGAUCAGAAUGCCGCGGUG
rnacentral:rRNA from 1 species